rnacentral:lncRNA from 1 species
GCAAGCUUUCCUGUCACUAAGCCGUGAUGUUGUAAAGAGUUCUGAAGUCAACUUUGAGAUCCUAGCCUGGGGCAGAGAAAGACAGUUUCUACAUGGUAACAGCAACAGCAACUGGCCAGUUCUGUCUCCACAUGGUCAGCCUGAGAAACAUACUAUAAAGCUCCACUACCGAAGAGGAAGUGGAUCGUACCUAAGUGAUGGUGGGGUCAUCCACUCAGCUUCUUGCCCAAGAUCUCCAUGGCGUAUCAUCUCACAUAGUGUCCUGCAUCUGGCGGAGUCUUGAGAAUAAGGCUGGAUGAUGGUGAUAACGAGAAUGAAUGAAGAUGGUGAAAUCUGGAAUGGUCUAGUUGUCAAUAUUUUAAUGUAGCCAACAUAGGUAAUUUGCACUUUUGAAGUGGCCUCCGAUGCGAAGGUGAGAUCAGAAAUACGCCUGUGGAACCCUCUACAUGCGGAUCUGGCAAGCAUUCAACACAAACGCAAUUAGAGGGCUUACCCUUGCAUGAAAUAUUUGCUUUCCUGAUAGUCACUAACUUUAAACUUUAGGAAUGCCAGGGCAUAGUGUUUCUGUAUCAGAACUAGAAUCCUCUACUUCACUUUCUUCAGCUAUUAUUUUUGAAGUUUGCAUAUCGUAUUAAAGUCCCACCAAACAAUAAAUAGGAAAGCAUGAUUUUAUUAAAAUCCUCUUGAG